rnacentral:misc_RNA from 1 species
AAGUCGUAACAAGGUAACCGUAGGUGAACCUGCGGUUGGAUCAUUACCAAAUAUCCAAUGGGGAAGGGGCGUUCCUAGGGGCAGUCUAACCACUCCACUAGGCCCACGUCUCUUUUUCCAUUUCCCACCUCUUGUGCAAUGUAAUGUAUUUGGCGGGCCACGCUCAACCCUCUCCACAGGAGAGGUUUGAGAUUGCUUAUGAAGGCGGUCCUAUACGGACCGCCCUCAACCGUCAUGUUAACACACCUAAUAUUAUCUAUACCAACAAUCUGACGUUUAUAUGCUAGGGGACGCGUUUGCGUAACCUGGAACAUAACCGAAAACAACUUUUGACAACGGAUCUCUUGGCUCUC